UAGGGAAUCUUCCGCAAUGGACGAAAGUCUGACGGAGCAACGCCGCGUGAGUGAUGAAGGUUUUCGGAUCGUAAAACUCUGUUGUUAGGGAAGAACAAGUAUCGGAGUAACUGCCGGUACCUUGACGGUACGUAACCAGAAAGCCACGGCUAACUACGUGCCAGCAGCCGCGGUAAUACGUAGGUGGCAAGCGUUGUCCGGAAUUAUUGGGCGUAAAGCGCGCGCAGGUGGUUCUUUAAGUCUGAUGUGAAAGCCCACGGCUCAACCGUGGAGGGUCAUUGGAAACUGGGGAACUUGAGUGCAGAAGAGGAAAGUGGAAUUCCAAGUGUAGCGGUGAAAUGCGUAGAGAUUUGGAGGAACACCAGUGGCGAAGGCGACUUUCUGGUCUGUAACUGACACUGAGGCGCGAAAGCGUGGGGAGCGAACAGG
rnacentral:rRNA from 1 species